ACGAAGGGGGCUAGCGUUGCUCGGAAUCACUGGGCGUAAAGGGUGCGUAGGAGGGCAGGUAAGUCAGUGGUGAAAUCCCCGAGCUUAACUUGGGAACUGCCGUUGAUACUAUCUGUCUUGAAUAUUGUGGAGGUGAGCGGAAUAUGUCAUGUAGCGGUGAAAUGCUUAGAUAUGACAUAGAACACCAAUUGCGAAGGCAGCUCGCUACACAUAUAUUGACUCUGAGGCACGAAAGCGUGGGGAUCAAACAGGA
rnacentral:rRNA from 1 species